CCUACGGGAGGCUGCAGUAGGGAAUAUUGCUCAAUGGGGGAAACCCUGAAGCAGCAACGCCGCGUGGAGGAUGAAGGUUUUCGGAGUGUAAACGCCUUUUGUUAGAGAAGAGAAUGACGGUAGCUAACGAAUAAGCACCGGCUAACGCCGUGCCAGCAGCCGCGGUAAUACGGAGGGUGCAAGCGUUACUCGGAAUCACUGGGCGUAAAGAGCGCGUAGGCGGGAUAGCAAGUCAGAUGUGAAAUCCUAGGGCUUAACCAUAGAACUGCAUUUGAAACUGUUAUUCUAGAGUAUGGGAGAGGUAGGUGGUAUUCUUGGUGUAGUGGUUAACUCCGUCGAGCUC
rnacentral:rRNA from 1 species